CCUGGACCACUGAUUUGAGGCCUUUCUGCUUCCUUUGAUUCAGUCUUUGGCAGAGACCCAGGAGCAGGAGUCCUUGAUGGCACCUGGCCCUUUCUAGUCACCGACAAGGGAAACCUGAGAAACCAUUCUCAGAAAUGGAACUAAAUUGACACAGCAUUUGUCUCCUCCAGAGGAUACAGCACCAAGGCGCCAUCUUGGAAGUAGACUGGAGCUCUUAGCAGACCAGAACCUGUGGGCAUAUUAUGAAUAUUCAGUGAAACAACGUGUGUGCUCACCAGGCAGGAAGAGCUCAGCAAAUGGUGGCUGGUCUGGAAAUUAUUGUCAUCACUAUAAUCCUCAUCGACAUCCUCAGCCUUAUUGUCAUCAUCAUCAACCUCAUCAGUGUCAUCAUCAGCCUCAUCAACGUCAUCAUCAGCCUCAUCACUGUCAUCAUCAGCCCUUUGUCAUCAUCAUCAUCCACCUUGCUGUUCUCUUCCUUGUUGACAUCAUUAUCCUCAUCCUCCUCAUCACCAUCAACAGCAUUAUUUUUAUUUUUUAUUCUUCCACCUGUAAGAGUUUCUUUUCCUCCCUCUUAUUGUUUUCCUCUUGGGAUGACUAGUGGUGAAGGAAGUGUCAGAGGCAAUGACCUCACAGCUGUCGUUGCCAUGGGUGACACCUCCCAGAAAGAGCUUAUUGGAACUUUCAGUCCAGGGGAGUUUCUGCUGUUCCAGGAUGGAGGAAAUGUUCAAGAACUGUGGAGCAUCUGAGAUUUUUUUCCUACUUUUGAUGUCCACCUAGUCAAAGUUCAGGUAGGCUUAUUGUCUAUUAUAAAAGCUCCAGGUUCCCAAAGCUUGGCGAAAUCCCGUCUCUACAAAAAAAUACAAAAAUUAGCCAGGGUUGGUGGUGGCUUGCACCUGUAGUCCCAGGUACUCAGGAGGUUGAAGUGGGAAGAUCGCUUGAGGCUGGGAG
rnacentral:lncRNA from 1 species